CCUCGGCCUCCCAAAGUGCUAGAAUUACAGGCAUGAGCCACUGCUCCUGGCUGGAACUCUUUAUUUUUAAUCAUGAUUGCUCUUUGUAGGUUAGAUUAUAGUAUAUGUAAGCCAAAUGAAUUUGAGCAAAUUUUUUUUACCUUAACUGUGUAGUUAGCAUCCUGUCCUAUUUUGUAUACCACUCUAGAAUAUAACGUACACUUUAUACAUACUUGUGAGUGCUAUAGUGGUUGAAUUAGAUUUGUGUAGCGUUAUAGCCAAAUUAUUCUGCCAUUUGAGACGUUAUAAAUCCAACCUUCUCUCUCCACAGACUCUAUCAUCCAGCAACACUGUCAAACUAUCAUUCCUCUAGACAGACCUCCUUGUUUUCUCAACAACUGCUUGGAUUGUCCUCAACCACUUGCCAUUUUUAUCUGUCUCAAUUCUCUUUCACCUUUAAGACCCAAACCCAUCUCAUUUCUAGGAAGCCUUUCAUGGACAUCACAGCUAUGGAAUUUUUUUCCCUCUGAAUCCCUAAAGAACUUCAAAAGUAUAACUUUUCUCCCCCCAUUUUCUUUAAUAUAGUCUCUUAUAGUUAUGUUCUUUCAUUCGUCAAAUCAUUUUGUUCCCUAUGAGGUUGUAGAUUUCUGGAGAACAGGGGAAAGAAGAAAGACUAAUAUUUUUUUUGCUGCCAAACACAUUGCUACAUGUUUUUUAUGUACAUACAUACAUUUUUAAAAGGUAUCAUUUAAUUAUUGUAGCAACCCUGCGAAGUUGGUGGUAUUUUUUCCAUUUUUAUAGAUAAGGAAGCUGAAUCUUAUAGUAAGAAACACAACCAAUGUUGGAACGGCAAUACAUUGUAGAGCUGAGAUUUAAGUUUGGGCCUCUCUGAUUCAAAGUCUGUAUGCUGUUUUCAGAAAGCCUCCUCUGUAAAAGAGUGACAAUUUGCUUUCUAAUCUGUCAGUUUACUAGAAAGUUCAAAGAACUGAAUAGGUGUUCAAUAAAUGAUUAAAUUUGUGACUGUAGAAAUCUGAAUUGCUUUGACUUCAUUUCUUUUACCCAUCAGCUAAUGGUAAUAUGAAUCAGCAAUUAAAUAGCCAAAGCCUUAGUAAGGGCCCUCUGUAUUCUCACCAAAGGCUAGUACAUAAGAAGUUGACAAUUGUACUGCAACAUUAUGGCUGUUUACUUGAGACAAGGUUUUUUUUUUCACUUGUUUGUCUGUUUUUAAGCUUUUUUCUUGUUGAUUCCAACAUUCAUUGAUAUUGUUAAAUGUCACUCUUCUCACUUAGUAUUUGCAUUUCAUUUUACGAUAGUAAAUCUCAUUGUAUAAUAUAAUAGUAGCAUGAAUAAUUUAUGCCUCUGUCAAGGAACUAUUAAAACACAGAGAUUUUUAAAUAUGCAUAUUCUAAACUUCAUAUAAAAACUAAGGAAUGGAGUUUUUAAUUUCCUCUCUGAGUGUUUAUUCCAGGAGUAAACGUGGGCAUUUACUAAAAAGCUAUGCUCUUACUGACUUCAAUUUAGGACUGAGUGCUGAGUUGUAAUUGUGUCUAUAAGUAAGGAAAAAUUGGCGUUUUAUCUUUAAUAGAAAAUCAGCUGCUUACUUUUUGGGGGCUGUUUACUUUUUUUAUUUAAAACAGGAAUUUUUAUUAGGUGUAUUUAUUCUCAAAGAAUUAAUGAUUAUAAGGAUUAAAAAGGAUGAGUGCCAACCUAAGAAUGAAAAGAAUUUUGAUAUGAGCACAAGCAUUGUGACUGAGCUUUGGGGUGACAAAAAUAUGAUGUUUUAGGUAUCUGGGGUUUCUCCUUGUCAACUUCCAUGCAUAUUGGUAAGUUCAGCCUAUUUUGUAAACAGUUACUAAUGCCAUAAUGCAUUUUCCCAUAUUUUCCAUCUGAAUUUUUUACUAUUAUUGAUUGAAGAUUCAAUUGAGAAAUGUAUUUAGAACCCUGCUUUCUGUGGUAAUCACAGAAGUCAGUGGGAAGACAAGAAAAUUGUAUUGAAAGAAAUUGUGUGCGUGUGUGUUUUGUGUUUCAGCAUAGAUUAUCUCUGCCAAAAUAAUAGCUGUCAUUUUGUUCUUGUUAUAUUAGUGGCCUGUAGCUUACCACUACUCCUUUUGCCUUAGUUUUGCUUCUGACCACUGGCUAUUAACAUCAGCAAGAACUUUUUAAUUGAAUGUCCCAAUUUGAAUGAUUUUUGUCCUAAUAUUAUUAUAUCUUGAUCCAUUUCAAAUUAGAGGUCCCUAAAUUGUGACCUCUCACCUCAACUCAACAGCCCUUUAACAUUCAAAGACUUUGAAACUUCACUUCUGUUUAGAAUUUCAUAUCAUGCCCAUCAUGGGGGGAAAAGAUGGAAAAUGUAUACGCUGAGCCUAUAGGACUUCCUGCAGUGCUUAUUAAUCCUUUAUGGAUCAUUUGAAAUGUUUCUAGUUUAUUUAAGCUUUGCUGCUUGUAUCAGAUUGUUCCUACGAAAAAAGAAAAAGUGAUCAUGCUUUGAAUUUUUAAAAAUGAUCUCACUUUCAAGCAAAAGCACUUUUAUGCUCCAUUAAAGUUGAAUUUGCCAAACUCUUACAUCGCAUUAACACAAGCUUUACUGGAUAGAUAAACGUGUUGUUCAAAGACCAACUUGAACUUUACCAAACUGCAUAUUAAGAUUUUUAUCUUUAUUCUUCUUAUUUCUUGAAUUAUUUUAAAAUAGACUAGUAAAAUAGACUAGAUAGGCCUAAAAGUACUACUUUAAUGACAAAAUAAUUUCUUCAUUUGAUGUAAAAAAUUAGUAUAGAUUGUAAGCUAAUUGUUAAAUGAAGACAUAAUUAACAAAAAUAUUUUGAUAGUUACUUUUGCAUUUUUCAUACUCCUUUUAUGUAGUAUCAAUAUCAUAACAAAACUUGUUUUUUUGAAUUUGCAUAAGUGAUUUAUUGUUUUGAUGGUUAUAAUUUUUACUCAAGUCUAUCAUGCAUCUUUGAAAAUUCAGUAUUUUCUUGAAAUGUUUAGUAGGUCAGCCAAUAAAUUGACUUUUUAAAAAUCCUUCUCAAUUUAGUGGGUUUUUUCAAUAUGUGGAGGACAUCUUCUGUUUUCUGUGAAUGAUAGUGUUAUACUCUUUGUUUUUAUUUAUGUUGUGAAGCUUUUAGCUUGGAAAUAAUCUUGGAAUGUGUAUCUUUUCAACCUAGAGUUACUUAGAAAGUUCUAUUCUCCUUUGUACUAUGUUUUCUGGCUCCCUAACACAAUUGUAAGGACUUGGUCUUUCCUUUUUAGUUUCCUUAGCCUUGAGGUUUUAAUUUAAUGUGUUUUUUCUUCUGAAAGAAGGUGAGCUAGUUUUCUACUUGAAAUGUCUUUGUAUUUUCAAAUACAUGAAACCUUUAUGAAGUAUGAGGUUUUGUUUUAUCAAAAAUAACACACAUGCUUUAUUUUAAAGCAUUAAUUUACAUCAGCAUUUAUAGUGAACUUGAAAAAAUAUUUUAAUGGUAAUGAAAAUAUAAUUUAAUAUCAGGCUAAGUCUUUUUCAGCCCUCUUAGAUUCCCCAUUUUUAGCUGUUGAGUCACAGGGGUUCCUAAUGAAAAAGAAAAAUGCAUUUUUAGGAAAUUACUUUUUUAAGGCAAACGAUAAAUUGUACACAUAGAGAGAAAGGAAAGAACUUUUUAUCUGCCUGUUGUAGGGAGAAAUCCGAACAAUUAUAUGAAAUAUUUAGUAAGUUAUUUUAAUGUUACAGCUUUUGCAUUUCUGAGAGAGUGAUGAUACCUUGUUAGUAAGAAACUUUAUUAACACUGACUUCUAGUGUAAAAAUCUGUCCUGUAUUUAUUUUUCACUAAUUCACUUUAUUCUUUUCUCCUGGUGUUCCCAUGACCUUUAAGAAAUGUACAGUUUGCAUCUCAAACUGCAACUGUACUGAGUAACACAAAGUUGAAUUAUGAACAUAAUGGCAGUUCUCUGUGGUGUUUCCAGUUCAUGCUUACUUUUAGUUUGCUAAAUUCAUAAGUGAAGUGUUUUUUAGUGUUGCCCAUGUUAGGGAAAAGGUUAAAUAAUGCUCAGCUUCUCUUCAUUAGCAAAUGGGGG